AGUGAGCCAGACGGCCGCGUGCCUUUCGGCGCGAGGAAAGUCCGGGCUCCUAAGGGCAGGGUGCCAGCUAACGGCUGGGCGGGGCGACCCGACGGAAAGUGCCACAGAAAAGAAGACUCCCCCGCGUUGCGGGAGAAAAGCUGAAACGGUGCGGUAAGAGCGCACCAGCGCAUCGGCAACGAUGCGGCUUGGUAAACCCCAUCCGGAGCAAACGCAAAUAGGAACGCUAUACGGCUGCCCUUCCGUGCGUUCGGGUUGCGCGCUAGAGAUGCGCGGCGACGCGUAUUCGAGAUAAAUGGCCGUCCGCGACAGAACCCGGCUUACCGGCCCACUCGC
rnacentral:RNase_P_RNA from 1 species